rnacentral:misc_RNA from 1 species
UUUCCGUAGGUGAACCUGCGGAAGGAUCAUUAAUGUGUUUGGGCCUCACGGCGCUUCAUUCCGACGCUGUGCGCCUUCGGGCUGCACGCUGAGGGAGCAUAUAUCCACCCCUGUGCACACACACGGUGGCGAGCUGGGUAACGGCUCGCCGCUGAUCUUUACACACGUCUAAAAGUCAUUGUAUGUUUAUUUGAGAUAAAAACACAACUUUCAGCAACGGAUCUCUUGGCUCUC